GGCUAGUUUGAUCAUGGCUCAGGAUGAACGCUAGCGGCAGGCCUAACACAUGCAAGUCGAGGGGCAUCGGGAUUGAAGCUUGCUUCAAUUGCCGGCGACCGGCGCACGGGUGCGUAACGCGUAUGUAACCUACCUAUAACAGGGGCAUAACACUGAGAAAUUGGUACUAAUUCCCCAUAAUAUUCGGAGAGGCAUCUCUCCGGGUUGAAAACUCCGGUGGUUAUAGAUGGACAUGCGUUGUAUUAGCUAGUUGGUGAGGUAACGGCUCACCAAGGCAACGAUACAUAGGGGGACUGAGAGGUUAACCCCCCACACUGGUACUGAGACACGGACCAGACUCCUACGGGAGGCAGCAGUGAGGAAUAUUGGUCAAUGGACGCAAGUCUGAACCAGCCAUGCCGCGUGCAGGAAGACGGCUCUAUGAGUUGUAAACUGCUUUUGUACGAGGGUAAACUCACCUACGUGUAGGUGACUGAAAGUAUCGUACGAAUAAGGAUCGGCUAACUCCGUGCCAGCAGCCGCGGUAAUACGGAGGAUUCAAGCGUUAUCCGGAUUUAUUGGGUUUAAAGGGUGCGUAGGCGGUUUGAUAAGUUAGAGGUGAAAUCCCGGGGCUUAACUCCGGAACUGCCUCUAAUACUGUUAGACUAGAGAGUAGUUGCGGUAGGCGGAAUGUAUGGUGUAGCGGUGAAAUGCUUAGAGAUCAUACAGAACACCGAUUGCGAAGGCAGCUUACCAAACUAUAUCUGACGUUGAGGCACGAAAGCGUGGGGAGCAAACAGGAUUAGAUACCCUGGUAGUCCACGCAGUAAACGAUGAUAACUCGUUGUCGGCGAUACACAGUCGGUGACUAAGCGAAAGCGA
rnacentral:rRNA from 1 species